GAUGAACGCUGGCGGCGUGCUUAACACAUGCAAGUCGAACGGUGAAGCGCUAUGCUUUUUGGUGGGUGGGUAUGGGUGGCCAACGGGGGAGUAACACGAUAGUAACCUGCUCCCUCCUUCUGGAUAACCGCAUGAAAGUGUUGCUAAUACGGGAUAUUCUGGGCCUGUCGCAUCGUGGGUCUGGGAAAGAUUUCGUGUCGGUGUGGGAUGGGCUCGCGGCGGAUUAGCUGGUUGGUGGGGUGACGGCCUACCAAGGCGACGAUGAGUAGCCGGCCUGAGAGGAUGAUCGGCCGCCCUGGAGGUGCGACACGGUCGAGCCUCCUCCGGCAGGCAGCAGUAGGGAAUAUUAUUCCACGGGGGGAGGAAUGCUGCAGCAACGCCGCGUGGGUGAGGAAGGCGUUCGGCUUGUAGAGAACCUUUUUUGGCAAAGAAGAGGGGCGGCCUCAUUUGUGGGUGUGUUGACGGUAGCUAAAGAAGAAGCGCCGGCUAACUACGUG
rnacentral:rRNA from 1 species